GGGCGUGGCGGCUGCCAAACUGGCAAGCCGAACGAAGCGCUUUCCCGAAUACUCGAAGGAAGGGGAGAGUGACUGAGUGGCGGACGGGUGAGUAACGCGUGGGGAACCUGCCCUGUACAGGGGGAUAACAGCCAGAAAUGGCUGCUGAUACCGCAUAAGCGCACGGCGCCGCAUGGCGCAGUGUGAAAAACUCCGGUGGUAUAAGAUGGAUCCGCGCCUGAUUAGCUAGUUGGCGGGGCAGCGGCCCACCAAGGCGACGAUCAGUAGCCGGCCUGAGAGGGCGAUCGGCCACAUUGGGACUGAGACACGGCCCAAACUCCUACGGGAGGCAGCAGUGGGGAAUAUUGCAUAAUGGGGGGAACCCUGAUGCAGCGACGCCGCGUGAGUGAAGAAGUAUUUCGGUAUGUAAAGCUCUAUCAGCAGGGAAGAAGAUGACGGUACCUGACUAAGAAGCCCCGGCUAACUACGUGCCAGCAGCCGCGGUAAUACGUAGGGGGCAAGCGUUAUCCGGAUUUACUGGGUGUAAAGGGAGCGUAGACGGUGAUGCAAGUCAGAAGUGAAAGCCCGGGGCUCAACUCCGGGACUGCUUUUGAAACUGUGUGACUGGAGUGCAGGAGAGGUAAGCGGAAUUCCUGGUGUAGCGGUGAAAUGCGUAGAUAUCAGGAGGAACACCAGUGGCGAAGGCGGCUUACUGGACUGUAACUGACGUUGAGGCUCGAAAGCGUGGGGAGCAAACAGGAUUAGAUACCCUGGUAAUCCACGCCGUAAACGAUGAAUAUUAAGUGUCGGGGAGCAAAGCU
rnacentral:rRNA from 1 species